UACGUAGGGUGCAGGCGUUAAUCGGAAUUACUGGGCGUAAAGCGUGCGCAGGCGGUUUGCUAAGACAGGUGUGAAAUCCCCGGGCUUAACCUGGGAACUGCGCUUGUUACUGGCAGGCUUGAGUGUGGCAGAGGGGGGUGGAAUUCCACGUGUAGCAGUGAAAUGCGCAGAUAUCAGGAGGAACACCGGUGGCGAAGGCGGAUCUCUGGGCCUUACCUGACGCUCAGGCACGAAAGCUAGGGGAGCGAACAGG
rnacentral:rRNA from 1 species